AGAAGUCCCAGCCGUGCACACUUGCACCAACGUAGGCAAACCUGUUCACACUCGGGGCAUGCACAACCCUGUAUGUGAGGACAAAGGAAAACUCAAGGAUGAACACACCUGCACACUAGUAAAACCAGUUGCACCAUUCCCAGAACCCCCAAGGCAGGGGUCUGUACACUCCCCACUCAGUACCUGGGUGCAGGCUCUCCAGAGUUUCCCUCUUACCACCCACCUGCCUCCCUCCCCAGCUCAGUCCCCUAAGUUCCCAGUUCCCUGCAAAAGGCUGAAGGAGCCACCACUGGCUGCUCACAGCCUCAGGGCAGGGGACCCCGCCAGGCUCAGGGCUUCCUCCGGCAGCCUCCUCCCCGCCUGCUCACAGCACUGGCCUCGGCGCGCACGUCCAGGAAGCAGCUACUCUGCGCUGGGGGGCCAACUUCAGACCUGGGGGAGAGCAGGGACGGGGUGGGCCCUUCUGCCUCGGGCCUCGCAAGCGUCCGUCGGGGCCGUAGAGGCCGCUGGCGGCCCUCAGGCCUUGGUGCCCCGUGGCAGGAUUCAUAGAGCAGCCGGU
rnacentral:antisense_RNA from 1 species